rnacentral:rRNA from 1 species
GUGGGGAAUAUUGCGCAAUGGCCGAAAGGCUGACGCAGCGACGCCGCGUGUGGGAUGACGGCCUUCGGGUUGUAAACCACUGUCGCGAGGGACGAAAUUCUGACGGUACCUCGAAAGGAAGCACCGGCUAACUCUGUGCCAGCAGCCGCGGUAAUACAGAGGGUGCAAGCGUUGUCCGGAAUCACUGGGCGUAAAGGGCGCGUAGGCGGCCUGGUAAGUCGGGGGUGAAACGCUGCGGCUCAACCGCAGCACGGCCUUCGAGACUGUCAGGCUUGAGCACGGUAGAGGCAGAUGGAAUUCCCGGUGUAGCGGUGGAAUGCGUAGAGAUCGGGAAGAACAUCGGUGGCGAAGGCGGUCUGCUGGGCCGUUGCUGACGCUGAGGCGCGACAGCGUGGGGAGCAAACAGGAUUAGAUACCCGAGUAGUCC